rnacentral:rRNA from 1 species
GAAUAUUGGACAAUGGCGGAAACGCUGAUCCAGCCAUCCCGCGUGCAGGACGAAGGCCCUCUGGGUUGUAAACUGCUUUUACCAGGGAAGAAACGUGUGGACUUGUCUGCACCUGACGGUACCUGGGGAAUAAGCACCGGCUAACUCCGUGCCAGCAGCCGCGGUAAUACGGAGGGUGCAAGCGUUAUCCGGAAUCACUGGGUUUAAAGGGUGCGCAGGCGGCUUGGUAAGUCAGAGGUGAAAGCUCACGGCUCAACCGUGGAACGGCCUUUGAUACUGCCAGGCUUGAAUGGGCGCGAGGCAGGCGGAAUGUGGCAUGUAGCGGUGAAAUGCUUAGAUAUGCCAUAGAACACCGAUUGCGAAGGCAGCCUGCCAGAGCUCGAUUGACGCUCAGGCACGAAAGCGUGGGGAGCGAACAGG